rnacentral:snRNA from 1 species
AGCUUUGCACAGUGGCAGUAUUAUAGUCAGUGAAAUUUAUCUGAGGUACAAUUAUUGCUAAAUGAAAACUUUCCCCAAUACCCCACUGUGAUGACUUUAAGAACAUCUUUAGCAUUUCGAUAAGUUCAACUGCU